GAUGAACGCUAGCGGGAGGCCUAACACAUGCAAGCCGAGCGGUAUUUGUUCUUCGGAACAGAGAGAGCGGCGCACGGGUGCGGAACACGUGUGCAACCUGCCUUUAUCUGGGGGAUAGCCUUUCGAAAGGAAGAUUAAUACCCCAUAAUAUAUUGAGUGGCAUCACUUGAUAUUGAAAACUCCGGUGGAUAGAGAUGGGCACGCGCAAGAUUAGAUAGUUGGUGAGGUAACGGCUCACCAAGUCAAUGAUCUUUAGGGGGCCUGAGAGGGUGAUCCCCCACACUGGUACUGAGACACGGACCAGACUCCGACGGGAGGCAGCAGUGAGGAAGAGUGAACAAUGGGUUAGCGCCUGAUCCAGCCAUCCCGCGUGAAGGACGACGGCCCUAUGGGUUGUAAACUUCUUUUGUAUAGGGAUAAACCUACUCUCGUGAGAGUAGCUGAAGGUACUAUACGAAUAAGCACCGGCUAACUCCGUG
rnacentral:rRNA from 1 species